UUAAACACCAGCGAAAGCAGCUGCGCAUCAGCGAAUCGCCAAGAAGAGAUCAAACAUACAUACAGCGUAGAAAAGAGAUCAGUAUAGGUAGCUAGCUUCGCAUUUUGCCAUGGCGUUUACCAAGAGGAACACAAGCGUCGUAUGCUUGGCCGCCCUCAUUGUGGUGAUGGCCACCAUGAUGCUGUCAUGUGAUGCCGGAGAUUACUGCUUUGAUAUUCCCGGACCAUGCGUGCAAUCGUUAUGCAAGGAUGCGUGUGCUAAGAAAAAUUACCCCAAUAGACCCCGCUGCCAGCCCGUGACCGAUGAAUGCUGUUGUGACACUGCCGCAAAGCCCGACGUCGGCGACGCCAUCCGUCAUGAUUGAUAACAGAACCUUGAUUCAUUAUUGGACAAACUUUGUGGGUGGUCAUGAUAUGUAUAUGCAUGCAUGCAUGUUUGCCAACACUUGCAAGUUGAAUAACAAAAAACACAAAGAG